UUCAACUUUGUUUCUGUUAUAUUUGUUAUCAUUUUUGGCUUGAUGAUACGAGUAAAUGUUUUUACCAGUUCAAUUUGUUCGUCAUAAAUUCGAUAGACUAACGGUUCUUUUUGUUCAAAAGUUAAUAUGAAUGAUUUAAAAAUAGGAAGAAUUUCAAGAGAGAUGUUCCUGUUUUAAUAACCAAAAAGAAUAAAUUAAAUUGAAAGCAGACAUCACCUCAAGCAAAAGAAUGCAAUCUAAAGCAGACCAAUCAGAAACCCUUGGCUUCGAAUUGUUGUAUGUGACCACUGUGAUAUGACAAAUUUUUUUCAGAAAUGUACGAAGAUCUUGGCUAAACUUAAAACCAAUGUAGACAUCAUCAAAUAAAUUUUUAACUAUCUUGCCAAAAGAAAAAGUAAACUUUUUAACAACAAAGUUUUGUCAAAAACUGAUUUCUGUAAACUUUAAAAAAAUGAAAUCUUUUGAAAGUGAUGUGCACAUGGUAGCAAAUACCAUCAUCAUAUAUAAUCUUGUUUCAAACCCACUGAUUCUGAUUUUUCCCCUCAUAAAGGUAGAACCUGAUAAAUUGAAAAUGUCUUUAAUGGAAUUGCGUCCUUAUUAAAUAAUUGAAUAACAGCAUCAAAAAGAUGUUCAGUGUUUACCAUAACAAGCAAUAACGAUGCAUAGUCUUUUAAUAUUAACUUUAUUAUUUAAAAUGCAACAGGUAUAUUAAGAACUUUUUCAUAUUAAAAAAAAAGCUCAGCAUGGAAAGCUUCACUUAUUCCUUCUCGCAGCUUAUAUAAAGCAGUUGUUAUAAACAUUUUCAAAUUUUUUGAAACAUGAUGAUCUUUAGACAUUUCUUUUGCGUAUUAAACCAUAUGGGAUGUUAAAGAUAUCAGAAGAUUAUGUUCACAAAUAAAUCCUAUAGCUUCUACAUUUGAUGUCGGGUCUUUAAAACUUACAAUAGGUUUAAUGGUAGGCUUUAAUCUAUUUGUGCAAGUACUGCCAAUAUGCACGCUAUCCAGAGUAUGGUAAUAUAUACAUGUAUCUGCUUUUUUUAAAUUAGUAAAAAAUGA